GAUGAAGAACGUAGCGAAAUGCGAUACGUAGUGUGAAUUGCAGAAUUCCGUGAAUCAUCGAAUCUUUGAACGCAUAUGGCGCUCGAGGCUUCGGCCAAGAGCAUGUCUGCCUCAGCGUCGGGUUAAUAUCACACCCACAUACCCUGUGUAUGUGAUUCCGUGUGGACCUGGCCGUUCCAGUUCAGUGCUCGACCACCUUUACUGGUGAUCGAAUCAGUCACCCUGGAUCGGCUGAAGAGCAGAGGCUAACUCUGGACCCGCUAAGGGCCGCAAUUGAGUAGGCACUUGUUGCUAAUACUUUAAUUGUUGGUCUGGGACUAUUGUUCGGCCCUAACCAGGAAAAUUAACCUUAUUUUCUCGACCUGAGCUCAGGCAAGAACACCCGCUGAACUUAAGCAUAUCAAUAAGCGGGAGGA
rnacentral:misc_RNA from 1 species